rnacentral:sRNA from 1 species
AUCCAUGGCUUUACCACAAUGGGGGCAACAUCAUUAGCAUUCAGCUGACAACAUGACCAAAAUCUUUACCCUGCUUCGGAAGUAUGAACCCCAUGGGCCAUUGGUAAACUCUGAGUACUACACAGGCUGGCUGGAUUACUGGGGCCAGAAUCACUCCACACGGUCUGUGUCAGCUGUAACCAAAGGACUAGAGAACAUGCUCAAGUUGGGAGCCAGUGUGAACAUGUACAUGUUCCAUGGAGGUACCAACUUUGGAUAUUGGAAUGGUGCCGAUAAGAAGGGACGCUUCCUUCCGAUUACUACCAGCUAUGACUAUGAUGCACCUAUAUCUGAAGCAGGGGACCCCACACCUAAGCUUUUUGCUCUUCGAGAUGUCAUCAGCAAGUUCCAGGAAGUUCCUUUGGGACCUUUACCUCCCCCCAGCCCCAAGAUGAUGCUUGGACCUGUGACUCUGCACCUGGUUGGGCAUUUACUGGCUUUCCUAGACUUGCUUUGCCCCCGUGGGCCCAUUCAUUCAAUCUUGCCAAUGACCUUUGAGGCUGUCAAGCAGGACCAUGGCUUCAUGUUGUACCGAACCUAUAUGACCCAUACCAUUUUUGAGCCAACACCAUUCUGGGUGCCAAAUAAUGGAGUCCAUGACCGUGCCUAUGUGAUGGUGGAUGGGGUGUUCCAGGGUGUUUUGGAGCGAAAUAUGAGAGACAAACUAUUUUUGACGGGGAAACUGGGGUCCAAACUGGAUAUCUUGGUGGAGAACAUGGGGAGGCUCAGCUUUGGGUCUAACAGCAGUGACUUCAAGGGCCUGUUGAAGCCACCAAUUCUGGGGCAAACAAUCCUUACCCAGUGGAUGAUGUUCCCUCUGAAAAUUGAUAACCUUGUGAAGUGGUGGUUUCCCCUCCAGUUGCCAAAAUGGCCAUAUCCUCAAGCUCCUUAUGGCCCCACAUUCUACUCCAAAACAUUUCCAAUUUUAGGCUCAGUUGGGGACACAUUUCUAUAUCUACCUGGAUGGACCAAGGGCCAAGUCUGGAUCAAUGGGUUUAACUUGGGCCGGUACUGGACAAAGCAGGGGCCACAACAGACCCUCUACGUGCCAAGAUUCCUGCUGUUUCCUAGGGGAGCCCUCAACAAAAUUACAUUGCUGGAACUAGAAGAUGUACCUCUCCAGCCCCAAGUCCAAUUUUUGGAUAAGCCUAUCCUCAACAGCACUAGUACUUUGCACAGGACACAUAUCAACUCCCUUUCAGCUGAUACACUGAGUGCCUCUGAACCAAUGGAGUUAAGUGGGCACUGAAAGGUAGGCCGGGCGUGGUGGCUCAUGCCUGUAAUCCCAGCACUUUGGGAGGCUGAGACGGGUGGAUUACCUGAGGUCAGGACUUCAAGACCAGCCUGGCCAACAUGGUGAAACCCCGUCUCCACUAAAAAUACAAAAAUUAGCCGGGCGUGAUGGUGGGCACCUCUAAUCCCAGCUACUUGGGAGGCUGAGGGCAGAAGAAUUGCUUGAAUCCAGGAGGCAGAGGUUGCAGUGAGUGGAGGUCGUACCACUGCACUCCAGCCUGGGUGACAGUGAGACACUCCAUCUCAAAAAAAAAAAAAAAAA